ACAUCCCCUCUGCCAGUCUCGGGUGGACGCUUGCCCUCCCUUCGUGGAGGUUCCUGGUCUCCGCGUGAUUACACACCGGCGACUCAAGGCACCUACACGAACGGACGGUUCGUGUCCUUCCCCAAGAUUGGGAGUAGCAGGGCAUAGGUUGGAAGAGAAACCUUUCUGUGAAAAUGAUUUCUGCUUACUGCUUCUUUCUUUUAGUAGUAUUUAGAUGCAUUUU
rfam:Murine norovirus GV/CR13/2005/TSA, complete genome.